rnacentral:rRNA from 1 species
GACGAACGCUGGCGGCGUGCUUAACACAUGCAAGUCGAACGGAAAGGCCCUGCUUUUGUGGGGUGCUCGAGUGGCGAACGGGUGAGUAACACGUGAGUAACCUGCCCUUGACUUUGGGAUAACUUCAGGAAACUGGGGCUAAUACCGGAUAGGAGCUCCUGCUGCAUGGUGGGGGGUGGAAAGUUUCGGCGGUUGGGGAUGGACUCGCGGCUUAUCAGCUUGUUGGUGGGGUAGUGGCUUACCAAGGCUUUGACGGGUAGCCGGCCUGAGAGGGUGACCGGCCACAUUGGGACUGAGAUACGGCCCAGACUCCUACGGGAGGCAGCAGUGGGGAAUAUUGCACAAUGGGCGGAAGCCUGAUGCAGCAACGCCGCGUGCGGGAUGACGGCCUUCGGGUUGUAAACCGCUUUCGCCUGUGACGAAGCGCGAGUGACGGUAAUGGGUAAAGAAGCACCGGCUAACUACGUG